GCGCGCCACCGCACUGCGGCUCCCACGGAUCCCUCCGCGUCCGCUCCGCAACCACAGGCCCGCGGAUCUCUCGUCUCCACACAGCAGAGAUAUUGCAACGUUUUCUGAGAGAAUCUCAGAUCCUUUUGUUCCAGUUAUCCUUUCAAGGACAGACUGGAGGAACAGAGAACAGAACAGGUCUGUACCAGGAAGAUUCACCUGAGCCUCCCAGCUGUGCAGGAGAACAAGAUCGAUAUGUUAAAGAACGGUCUCAAUCUGCCACUUUACAGAAGCUGGUUCUAGACCGAUUUUAUGAUGCAAAACAGUAUUCUUCUCUCCGCAGCAGCGGGAAGGUCACUUCCUUCACCUUUCUCUUUUUUUUUUCUCUCUCUUUUAAAUUUGAAAAUGUAAACUGUUAUUAAAGAAUCAGCA
rnacentral:lncRNA from 1 species